rnacentral:rRNA from 1 species
UACGUAGGGGGCGAGCGUUGUCCGGAGUUACUGGGCGUAAAGCGCACGCAGGCGGUCUGCUAAGUUUGGAGUGACAGUUGGUGGCUUAACUGCCAAAGUGCUUCGAAAACUGACAGACUUGAGGGCUUCAGAGGGACACGGAAUUCCGGGUGGAGUGGUGAAAUGCGUAGAGAUCCGGAGGAACACCAAAGGCGACGGCAGUGUCCUGGGGAGUACCUGACGCUCAGGUGCGAAAGCCAGGGGAGCGAACGGG